rnacentral:rRNA from 1 species
AUUGAACGCUGGCGGAAUGCUUUACACAUGCAAGUCGAGCGGCAGCACGGGGGCAACCCUGGUGGCGAGCGGCGAACGGGUGAGUAAUACAUCGGAACAUGCCCAGUCGUGGGGGAUAACACUUCGAAAGAAGUGCUAAUACCGCAUACGUCCUGAGGGAGAAAGCGGGGGAUCUUCGGACCUCGCGCGAUUGGAGUGGCCGAUGUCAGAUUAGCUAGUUGGUGGGGUAAAGGCCUACCAAGGCAACGAUCUGUAGCUGGUCUGAGAGGAUGAUCAGCCACACUGGGACUGAGACACGGCCCAGACUCCUACGGGAGGCAGCAGUGGGGAAUAUUGGACAAUGGGGGGAACCCUGAUCCAGCCAUGCCGCGUGUGUGAAGAAGGCCUUAUGGUUGUAAAGCACUUUAAGCGAGGAGGAGGCUACUGAGACUAAUACUCUUGGAUAGUGGACGUUACUCGCAGAAUAAGCACCGGCUAACUCUGUGCCAGCCGCCGCCGUAAGAC